AUGAAGCAGUUGAGUAGGUGUGCGUGGUGAGCAGCUACUAAACUUAUUCAGACACUACAAAAUAUAGUCCCACACAGCCUCUCAACACCACUUCUCGAACCUUCUUGAACCUUCAUGGCCCAGGCCGUUCACUGCCUCCACACAAGGCCGUUCGAUGACGCAACGCUCAAGCCGAUCACCCUUGCCAGCACCCUAGACUCCCAUGAUAUAUCUAGUCAAAAAAAUGGUUGAUCAUAAGUGCAAGUACACUACACACGCUGAGCUGCAACGGGACAUGGUGACAUCACUUCUUUUGGGAUACACACUAUUCAUCGCAUUUGUCAUCGAGCGAUUGCACCACUAUCUUCAGAAGCUCAUCACCCUGAGGAAAUCAGCCAACACCUCCCAGCGAGGAGCUUGAAAUUUUCCAAAUGGAGUUCAAACGUGAAUUUGAGAAAAUGAUUCCUUGGCUAAGUUCAAAAAAUGUCAUUCUGUGAAGUUCGGCUAUUCAGCCAUGGACUAGUCAAUGGUGGAGUUGCAAUUUUGUUUCUUCUGUACAUACAUGAAUUGAAUGUAAUCAACGGAAAGAAACAUAUGUUGAUUCUCCAAGUUAGAGUUCAUUUUUAUUUUCUUACAAGUAGCAAAACUUCCUGUGUAGAUCAGUACAGCUUCUGUGCGAUCUUGUGUUACAAAUCUUGUAGUACUGUUUU